UGGGGGAUAUUGCACAAUGGGCGAAAGCCUGAUGCAGCGACGCCGCGUGGGGGAUGAAGGCCUUCGGGUUGUAAACUUCUUUUGCUCUGAACAAGGCAUGCUAAUGGGUGUGUUGAGUGUAGGGGUUGAUUAGCGCCGGCUAACUACGUGCCAGCAGCCGCGGUAAUACGUAGGGCGCGAGCGUUGUCCGGAAUUAUUGGGCGUAAAGGGCUUGUAGGUGGCUGGUUGCGUCUGUCGUGAAAGCUCAUGGCUUAACUGUGGGUUUGCGGUGGGUACGGGCUGGCUUGAGUGCAGUAGGGGAGGCUGGAAUUCCUGGUGUAGCGGUGGAAUGCGCAGAUAUCAGGAGGAAUCCCGGUGGCGAAGGCGGGUCUCUGGGCUGUUACUGACACUGAGGAGCGAAAGCAUGGGGAGCGAACAGG
rnacentral:rRNA from 1 species